AGGACGAACGCUGGCGGCGUGCCUAAUACAUGCAAGUCGAACGGUCUUUCUAUGGAAGCUUGCUUCCACUGAGAAGAUAGUGGCGAACGGGGUGAGUAACACGUGGGUAACCUGCCCAUAAGAGGGGGAUAACAUCCGGAAACGGGUGCUAAUACCGCAUAGUUUUCUUGAUCGCAUGAUUGAGAAAGGAAAGACGGCCUUUGUGCUGUCGCUUAUGGAUGGACCCGCGGCGUAUUAGUUAGUUGGUGAGGUAACGGCUCACCAAGACGAUGAUACGUAGCCGACCUGAGAGGGUGAUCGGCCACAUUGGGACUGAGACACGGCCCAAACUCCUACGGGAGGCAGCAGUAGGGAAUCUUCCGCAAUGGACGAAAGUCUGACGGAGCAACGCCGCGUGAGUGAAGAAAGGUUUUCGGAUCGUAAAACUCUGUUGUCAGAGAAGAACAAGUUGGAGAGUAACUGCUCCAGCCUUGACGGUAUCUGACCAGAAAGCCACGGCUAACUACGUGCCAGCCGCCGC
rnacentral:rRNA from 1 species